rnacentral:rRNA from 1 species
CCUACGGGGGGCUGCAGUGAGGAAUAUUGGUCAAUGGACGAGAGCCUGAACCAGCCAAGCAGCGUGAAGGAUGACUGCCCUAUGGGUUGUAAACUUCUUUUAUAUGGGAAUAAAAUGUUCCACGUGUGGGAUUUUGUAUGUACCAUAUGAAUAAGGAUCGGCUCACUCCGUGCCAGCAGCCCCGGUAAUACGGAGGUGCCGAGCGUUAUCCGGAUUUAUUGGGGUUAACGGGAGCGUAGGGGGAUUGUUAAGUCAGUUGUGAAAGUUUGGGGCUCAACCGUAAAAUUGCAGUUGAAACUGGCAGUCUGGAGUACAGUAGAGGUGGGCGGAAUUCGUGGUGUAGCGGUGAAAUGCUUAGAUAUCACGAAGAACUCCGAUUGCGAAGGCAGCUAACUGGACUGCAACUGACACUGAGGCUCGAAAGUGUGGGUAUCAAACAGGAUUAGAUACCCGUGUAGUC